UGGAUAACCUACCUAUAAGACUGGGAUAACUUCGGGAAACCGGAGCUAAUACCGGAUAAUAUAUUGAACCGCAUGGUUCAAUAGUGAAAGACGGUUUUGCUGUCACUUAUAGAUGGAUCCGCGCCGCAUUAGCCAGUUGGUAAGGUAACGGCUUACCAAGGCAACGAUGCGUAGCCGACCUGAGAGGGUGAUCGGCCACACUGGAACUGAGACACGGUCCAG
rnacentral:rRNA from 1 species